GAUGAACGCUAGCGGCAGGCUUAACACAUGCAAGUCGAGGGGUAUGGUUCUUCGGAACCAGAGACCGGCGCACGGGUGCGUAACGCGUAUGCAAUCUGCCUUUCACAGAGGGACAGCCCAGAGAAAUUUGGAUUAAUACCUCAUAGUAUAGUACAAUCGCAUGAUUGAACUAUUAAAGUCACAACGGUGAAAGAUGAGCAUGCGUCCCAUUAGCUAGUUGGUAAGGUAACGGCUUACCAAGGCAACGAUGGGUAGGGGUCCUGAGAGGGAGAUCCCCCACACUGGUACUGAGACACGGACCAGACUCCUACGGGAGGCAGCAGUGAGGAAUAUUGGUCAAUGGGCGCAAGCCUGAACCAGCCAUGCCGCGUGCAGGAUGACGGUCCUAUGGAUUGUAAACUGCUUUUGCACAGGAAGAAACAACGCUACGUGUAGCGUC
rnacentral:rRNA from 1 species